rnacentral:rRNA from 1 species
UACGAAGGGGGCUAGCGUUGCUCGGAAUACUGGGCGUAAAGCGUGCGCAGGCGGUUUUGUAAGUCUGUCGUGAAAUCCUCGGGCUCAACCUGAGAAUUGCGAUGGAGACUGCAAGGCUAGAAUCUGGCAGAGGGGGGGUAGAAUUCCACGUGUAGCAGUGAAAUGCGUAGAGAUGUGGAGGAACACCGAUGGCGAAGGCAGCCCCCUGGGUCAAGAUUGACGCUCAUGCACGAAAGCG